AUCAUAGAUCAUAUCAACACUAAUGCACUGUAACUGUAUCCCAUUAGAACUUCGUAGUUAAGCGUAAUUGGGUGAAAUUAGUACUAGGAUGGACGACCUACUGGGAAGUGCUCGUGUUGCACCUU
rnacentral:rRNA from 2 species